rnacentral:lncRNA from 1 species
GAAAGGGGAACACAGGAAUCACCACAGACUCCCAGAAACGUGGCCCAUCCACCUCCAGGCUCUGAGCCAGGUUUCCUCCAGCACAGUUCCUGGGGGAUUUAACACCGACUGGCUUCAGUGUGAGGAAGGCAGCACGGAGCCCAGGCCACCGCUAAACAUCCUUCCCUGUCUCCUCCUUGCCAUGCGCCUGGCUUAGGCCUUCACCAUCUCUCCCCUAUCCACUGCCUGCACAGCCCACCAUCACAGGGCCUCCAAGGGUGAUCCUGCUGAAAUACAAAUCUAGCUAUAUCAGGUCUCUGCUUGAAAAGUUUAAUGGCUCUGAACUACCUACGGGCCAGAGAGAAACAAUUCCUUUUCACAGCACAAAGUCCCUUCAGGAUCUGGCCUUCACCCAAGUGUCCUGACUCAUCUCUCACGACUCACCCUCAGGCACCCUCCACAGGCGCAUGCCCCUGGUGCAGUUUCCCUGAGCCCUGGCCUUUGCCCUUGCUGUCCUCUCUGCCUGUCUCCUUCUGCCACCUCCCACCCUGACCCUUCUCUCCACUUAUCCCUCAUUCCCGUCCCCCUGGGCUCCAUACCCUUCCUCAGCACCCUCUAUAUAUCUCUGGGCUGUGUGUCCUCACAUCUCUCUCCCAUAUCCUAGAUGGUGAGCUCCCCCAGGGCAGGGAUCAAACUCCUUCCACUCAAUCAGCCAGUAUUUACGGAGUGCCCACUCGGUUUCCCACAGGAUGCUAAGUGCUGGGGAUGCCCUGAAGAGUAAGCCGGAGUCCCAGCCCUCAUGGGGUGGACUGCCUAGCGGACAUUCUUAUCGCUGCACCCCCAGAGCCUAGCACAGCACCUGGGCCAGGAAAGCAUUUGAUCAGUGUUUGCUGAAAUAGGUGAACGAGUGGGUGAGCGAAUGAGAGCACGUUGGAGAAACACGGCAACAGGUAAUUAGAGGAUGCUGCGGGCGGGGGGAGAGGGGGCUUCCUCUGGGGGAGUGAGAGAGAAGGCUGAGAAGACAGUAAACCACGGGACAAGGCAAAGCCAACUACAAUCCUCCCUUCUCCUCACUGUCCUGCUCCAAAAACAGACAAGAGGGCAGCCUGUGGAGCGCCUCCCCAGCAGCUAAUUAAUGACGAUGUUCACCUUGCCAGUGGCAAGAAGCCAAGGUCUAAUGAAAUCCAUCUUAGGAAGGUGAUUUGAGAUCUCACCCACCCCAUCAUCAUUAACCUCGGCUCUGCAUUCCCCUACCCAAGCCUUUCCCGCUACUAAAAAUGAAAAAAAAAAAACAAAAAAACAAUUCUAAGUUCCUCUUAGGGAACUAAUAGUACAAGAAUUGUUCCACCUCCACCACUCUCUUCACACUUAGUUUUUCCGCCACAGGGACCAAACCACUUCCCAGCUGAGAAAGAAAGCAGGGGCAAGGUGCAGAUUCCACCCAGGGACAGCAACCUAGGCCUCCUCCAACCGAGCUUGUGUGGAGGGCAGGGGCAGGGGCAGGGCAGGGAUGCCUGGCCAGGCUCCAGCACUCUACUGGUCAGACUCUUGUCUCUUUAGUCCAGCUCAACCCCAGGAACUGCAUCCAGACCCAGGACCCAGCCCACUGGUCAUGACCCUGGCCUGCCAGCUGGCUUAAGCUUGGUUUGGCAGCAUCAAGGGUUGAUUGAGUCCCAUGCAUCACAGAACCAAAACUUGUGAAAGCCACAGACUGCCACUUGGUCUCCCUGUAACACACAGACAAAUGUUCUGAAUGGAUGGAAGGAUUUAGCAAGCCAAGGUGUGGCAAAGUCCAAUUCCCAAUGCCAUGACUGAGCAACACUGCGGAGCAUCUCCCGCAGUAAAUCGGACAUUCUCUCCAGGAAGACUUGUUGAAUUCACAAACCCACAGACCUUCUCACGCCAUCAAGAACACACCAGGCACCACUUAGAGAGAAAUCCUGUGUGCCACGGCCCCACCCUCCCGGGUUCAUCUUUUUUGUUAGCAAGUCCAAUCUUCUGCCUUCUCCCUUCUUCAAAUGCAGAAAGUCCUCUAGGGCACACUAGGAAUCCAGGACAGGGUUUACCAUUAAGCUCCCAAGCUCUGGAAACUAGAUUUGCAUUCGCUUGCCAGUCGACUUUUCAGAUUGGAUUCCUAUAAUACUUGAAACAACCGGCUCCCUUUUCAUUCCUUUCCAACCCAAUUCACCGCAUGCAAAUGAUAUCUAUAUCAGUGCAAAUGACACCACCUGAAUUAUCUGGUUCUUGGCCAAAAAAACUGGGUUGUUCAGCAUGGAGUAGAAAGAGCUUUAAAAUGUAUUAUUAAUUGGGGCCGGAUUAUUUUUGCAACUGUUACUAAGGAAACCUCAAUUGCUAUAGUAACUGCAUAUGUUAAACUGGAAUCCUAUGACUAAACUUCUAUUCAGUCACAUGGUCUGAGAACAUGAAUUCAAGGAAGAGAAAUGUUUCAAAGCAUUUCCAUUUUUUUUCCUUCCCAUGUCAAAAUAUUGUGAAGUGUUGAGAAGCUUGAAAGAGAGGCAUUUUUUAAAUUUGGUGCACGUCUGACAGGUGGGCAAGGGGUCAGCUCCUAUUCUAUGCUCUGGAUUUCCUCCCACAUCUCCAGGGCAGGUAGGACCUUUCCUGAGGCACAGGGGAGACUGGAAUCUCCACAUAUAAUUAGGGAGCCCUCCCAUGUCCUGCCAGAGCCCUGCCCUGGGCGGUGUACAGCUUGCGUGCACCACCUUCCUCCACAGAGCUAGGAGAGCCCUGCCCACUUAGAGACCACAGGUGUUUUCAUCUGCAAAAUAAGAACAAUGUCUCUAUCUCCAUUAGGAGUUUUGUGCAGACUAAAAGCAAUGGUCUAUAAAAAGAGUUUAGCACAGAACCUGGGAUAUAACAAACACCCAGUGAAUUUUAGCUAUUCUCAUUCCUUUUUGGUUUCUGUGCCUUGUCCCAAGUUCAAAGUUCAACACUUAGAAUGGGAGUUGUCAAGCAUAAGUGGCAAUCUUCCUGCUCAAAGUGCUGUUCUCGGACCAGCAGCACUGGGAGCUUGUUAGAAAUGCAGACUCUCAGGCCCCACCCCAGACCCAGUAAGUCAGAAUCUGCACUUUAACAAGAUCCCCAGGUGAUUCACAAGUAGCUUCAAGCCUGAGAAACCCUGGACUUGGCCGUGUGAGUGAAUGGGCUUUGAGAGGCCAUAAAUGCAGACGUGAAAGAAAAGAGUGAGGCUUGGUUAACCCCCAACAGUGAAUUGGCAGGAGGAAGAAAGAAUCCAGCAAGAGACAGGAAGAGGGUCCGAGAGUUGCUCCAGCUCACGCCAGCAGCUGCCUUCACAGCAGCCCCCAGAGGCCAGGCCCUGCUUUGAGGGAGUGGCCCUUUCUUUCUGCAACUGGAGAGUUUCCUUCCCAGGCUUGUGAUUAAAACUUGGAAGAUCUGUGUUUUGUAUGGUAGGAGAGGCUGUUGUGUUUGUUACAGGCCAGGAUAGGGUGGUUUCAAGGUGAGACAUCAGGAAGAGGGAAGAACUUCGCAGCGGAGACCAGCAGCAGCUUUCUCAGCCAGCCUACCCUCCCUUCGGAUUCCACUCUGUGCGUGCUCUUCUCACUCAAAACUCAUUUAUUUCUUCAAUAAAGGAUUCCCUUACGCUCUACUAUAGCUGUGUUACUGCUGCCUUACAACGAAGGUAAUUCUUAAAAUCUUCUCUUUCUUACAAAAUUCUAAGCAUAUGCAGGGCAGGGACUCUGACCCAAUCAUUGUUAAACUAAUCAAUGAAUGGUUGAAUAAAUGUGGUUACUUUUCAAAAGGAGGGGCAAUUCUGAUUUUGAUAGAAAAGAGAACAUUUCAAAAGGUAUAUGGCCCCUGAGCUAGGCCCUGAGAAACAAGCAGAGAAGGAGAAUCAAAGGGCACGCCAGAGAGAGGGGACAAGAGGAAAAAGAUGACAACUACCCUGUGCACUCUAUUCAAGGAGGAGCAAGUGCUCAGGUGUAGUGGAUGAGGUUAGAAAGGUAAGCUUCGGCCACACUGCAAGGGGCCUGCAGCUUGUACUUGAUCCUGACCACCUGUGGCCCUCAGGGUGCACGCCAUGGAUCUGCAGAUCAGCAUCACCUGGGAAUCUGCCAGCCCCUGCUAAGUCAGAAAAACUGCGAGUAAGGCUCAGCAACCUGCAGUCUCAUGAGCCCUCCAAUUGAUUCUGAUGCACAUUCAAGUUUGAGAAGCAACAGCCGUGCUGCUGAGGUGGUUGCCGGCCUGCUGCCUCCCACAGAGCCCGCAAGGCAGGAACGUGACACACCCAUCUCAGCAGCCUCACCAGCAUGGCAACCUGGCACUUAACAACAGGCAGAAGCCACCUGGGAUGGAAGAAGGAGAACCCCAGACUCCCCUGAAAGAAGGCAGAGGCCAGUCCUCUGAGGGAUGGGGCAGCCAUCCCUCAGAAUGUGAAAGGAGAGCCAGUGUUCACAUGCUCUGGACUCAUGGAAGUCAAAGAAAAGCCCUCUGCUAUCCCAAUCUGCCGGGUCAGCAAUAAGAAAUAGAAGAAAACCGAUUUGGCAACAUCCAGAGGGUAUUAAAUAUUCAUCCUGACUGCCCAUCAGUAAAAUCCCAGCAGAAUACACCCUCUGACAAGUCGGCUUUCCACCACUAGAGGCUGUCCUCAUGGAAGCUUGUUUAUGGCUUUGUCAAUUUUAAUGUACAAUAUUUAAUAGCCAAACCAAGAUAUUGUCAUAAACAUUUGGAAAAUGAGUGCUAACAUUUCCCUUACUGCUUCUGUAUUUAAGGAUAUGUAAUUGGAGGGUGUUUUGAGCUAAAGAAAAUCAGAAGGAAGCAAGGCAAUUAUGCUUCACAAUUAAAAGAGAAAAGAACUGAUUAAGAGCUAAUAAUCAAACAUGUGAACUGGCUGAAAGUCUUGCCUAAGCACCCCUUGAGGGGUCACACUAUGUGAUCAAUGGGGAUCAGACUAAGCUAGAUCAAUGGCAACGUUGACAGUGAUGGCAUUCCUUGAAGAUUCUGUUGGGGAUAUGCAUAUGCAACAGGAAGCACACACAGGGAAUGGUCAAAUAACAGAUCCACAAGUCAACUGUGCCAUCCAACCAGAGAUUCUGAUGAAUACUGAUAUGGGGGCAGGAUCAGCAGGUGGCUCCAGCAGGGACGAGUCUGGGGCACAGACCACAAAGAAGCUUGCUGCGAUAAAUGAUAUCACAGCAGUGGAAGGCUGAUGGUAAACAGACCAGCAUGAGUGAGUCAACAGUCCCUGGGUUCCUAUUUGAUUCUGAUGGAAUAAGAAUAUUUAACACAAUAUUCUUUAAAACGGGGGUAGCAGGGGACAUUUCUAUGGAAGACACCAGAGCAGGGCUAAGAAUCUAUGUUUUGAGGGGCAAGGUACGCAGGGAGAGCAAAAGAAGAGAGGACAGCGCUGGUUCGGAGCUCUGGUAUCCGCAAGUCUUAGAGCCACCUUGUGGCAGAAGCUGGAAGAAUCAGGAGUUAAAAGAGGCACAAGAUAAAACUUCUACACCAUCAGCAAACUGUGUCUUGAGGAACCUCUACCAAUGUCUUAUGACCCCAACUUCCAAAAAACAAAUUUAAGGAUUUGCUAAAGGGGAUUAGGAAAUCAGGGGUGGUUAACCAGAGAGAGGAAACAUUAAAUACAAGUAUACAGUACCAAAGAGGAUUCCUGAGAAGAAAAACACUUGUCUAGAACAUAUAAUAAUAAAAUUAGGAACUUGGACUCUGGAGCCAAACUGCCUGUCUGGACUUGAAUCCUGGCUCUGCCACUUACUAUGGCACACUGGGCAAUUUAUGUAACUUCUGUGUCAGUGUCCUCAUCUGUGAAGUUGGGUAAAACGGUCCCCCUCACAGCACUGCAUGGAUUAAGAAACGAGGAACCAAAGCAUUCACAGUGGUUUACAAGAAAUGCUCAGUGAAUAUUAGCUGCUACUGUUGUUACUACCAGUAACACUAGUGCUAUAACUCCUCCACAUCAUCAAUCUACAAGGAGAAAAUUCUUCUGUAAAGGACACGAUUAACUGAAUGCUGAAAGAAUAAUCUCUGAUUACAUAGCCUUUAAAAGGUCAAAGUCUCCCUACCGCAAUUACUCUUUAACAAGGCACACCUGGAUUCAAAUCCCAACUUCCCCCAUUCACUAGGUGUUUAAUUUGAGGAAGUGAGAAUCUCUCAGAGCCUCUGUUACUUCAUUUAUAAAAUGGGAAAGCAAUAUGUUCCUCCCAGGGUUGCAGUGAAGAUUAAGUGAGGUAAUAUACACCAAGUGUCCAACAGUCUCCAGCGCACAGUCAGCUCUCAUGUAUUUUUCCACUUCUAUUUCCCCAAAAUGAAUGCACCAGCACCAAAGUAUAUAGGAAAGAGUAAAAACUCAUAUGAAGCUCUCUGGAAAAUAUUAAGUGCUAAAUGCAUAAAUAUUUAAUAGAGGAGAGACAGUAACACUUAAGGGGAUGCACUCUCCUGGUGCCUCAGCUGCCCUCUGGGAGUCCUGCACGGCCUCAAGCACCCACCUUUGCUCUUCCUAGCCUCCAAAGGGCCAUAAAAGUAUAUUACUGUGCACCUUUAAGUAGAGGCCUCUUAACAGCCCAAGUACAGUGAUACUCAUAAGUCUCCUCUGCCAACCACUGUUCAUUCUCACUUUACAGUGAAAACACAACAGAAACCAACUCAAGACACCCAAGACACAAAGACGACCUCAGAGCAGAUCUGGGGUCUCCCAACCCUCCAGCUACUUUACCCAGGAGGCAAUUAUGGUAUAAAGGAAAACAUUUGCUCUAUGGAAGUCAGAGAUACCUGGGCUCCAAUCUCAGUUCAAAUCUCAGUUUUGCCACUUAACCAGCUGGCUUGCCUCCAUCAAGAUUCCCAACCACUUUGAGCCUUGGUUUCCUCAUUAGCAAAAUAGGGAUACAAACACCUACAUUAUUAGGUUGUUGGAUAAAUUUAAAAAGAAAACAUGAGUAAAGCACUAAGCAGAAACCUGGCAUCCAAGAGGUACUUCAUACAUAUUUUUCCCUGUCUGCCUUUAGUAACACCAUAAACUAAUCCAAAUAAUUAGAACCUUCAAUGAACUAAUUCUGUAUUCUUCCCUUAGGCACUCCAGUCUUAGAUUCCAAGUAGUACCAGAAACAGGCAAAUACUAGGGAUGUAUUCAAAAAGGCAAUGUCAGACAAGGUCUUGAGGUCAGCAACUCCUCUACCUUCUACAGCUGCAGAACCAUGUGAUGGGCAAUGCUGCUCAGAAAACUGACCUUGAGAGCCAGAGGGGACAAAAAAAAAAGGUGCAAUUACAAUCCUAAUGUCCCACUCAAUAAUGCAGGCAAGUGGGUACCUCGACAUUUUCCACAACAAGGGUUCACAUAAAAUGGGGUCUCUGCUUAACCUUCCAUUAACCUGAAAAUCCAUUUAAGCAAAACAGCCUCUUCCCUGAGCCUCUUGUCAGUCGAAGUUUAGGCUGUCAU